GGAUCACCUGAGGUCAGGAGUUCGAGACCAGCCUGGUCAACAUGGUGAAACCCUGUCUGUACUAACAAUACUAAAAUCAGAGGUUGCUUGCAGUGAGCCAAGAUCAUACCAUUGCACUCCAGCCUGGGCAACAGAGCGAGACUCUGUCUCAAAAAAAAAAAAAAAGAAAAAAAGGAAUUUACAUAGUUGAACAACUAUUCUUUGGACAUCUUUUAGUCCAGUAGACGGUGUUAAACUUGAAGACAAAUAACGAUUUGACCUGUGAUAUUUGUUUUUCCCUCUUAUCUUCUAAGCCCAUUCAUCCAGAUCAUUCAUCACCUUUAAAGGCAUCCCCAAAGGGAGGCAGGUCUGGACAGAGCUGAAGAUUGCACAGGCCAUUUGCAGGCUGGAUUCGUUCUCUGGUGACCCACCUGUCUGACUCGAAUUAUUUUUUUCCCAUGUCUGGACAAGACUGACCUCUGCCCAGCAACUGAGGCCUGGAUUUAGUCCAAGGGCCCUCAGUGGCUUUUUUGUUUGUUUGUUUUUUCAGGAAGUGAAGAAUUUAGAGGGAUAAAAGGCGGAAAUAACUUUUCAGCCUCUGACCUUUGUAACAAUCUGGUUUCCUUUUAAAGGAGCAUUGUUUGGGCCUGGGGCCACCUAGACCUUCUGAUGCUCUUUCCCCACCCUUGGAGGAGGAGGAAAGGAAGAAAAUGGGCCCUGAGCGAUCACCACAUACCAGGCCCUGGGGGUCUAGUGGCGAAGGAGGCAGGUAGGGUCUCUUGCUUUCAUGGAGCUUCUAGUCAAGCGAGACGCACUAAACAGUAAAGGGACAAAUAGGAUUACUGGAGGUAGCCCUAACUACUGGGACAGAAACAAGAUGGUAAGAUAGAGAAGGAAGAGUGGCCUGCUCAGAUGGGGUGGUCCAGAGGCCUCUCGGGGGAGGUGACUCCUUUUUGUUUUAUUUUUUUUGAGAUGGAAUCUAGCUCUGUCGCCCAGCCUGAAGUGCGGUCGUGUGUUUCAUGCGCGUCCGUGUGAAGAGACCACUAAACAGGCUUUGUGUGAGCAACAUGGCUGUUUAUUUCACCUGGGUGCAGGCGGGCUGAGUCCGAAAAGAGAGUCAGCAAAGGGUGGUGGAUUAUCAUUAGUUCUUACAGGUUUUGGGAUAGGGGGUGAAGAGCCAUGUUUGCAGGCAGGGGUGGAUCUCACAAAGUACAUUCUCAAGGGUGGGGAGAAUUACAAAGAACCUUCUUAAGGGUUGGGGAGAUUACAAAGUACCUUCUUAAGGGUGGGGGAGAUUACAAAGUACAUUGAACAGUUAGGGUGGGGCAGAAACAAAUCACAAUGGUGGAAUGUCAUCAGUUAAGGCUAUUUUUACUUCUUGUGUGGAUCUUCAGUUACUUCAGGCCAUCUGGAUGUAUACGUGCAAGUCACAGGGGAUGCAAUGGCUUGGCUUGGGCUCAGAGGCCUGACAGUGUGAUCUUGGCUCACUGCAAACUCUGCCUCCUGGGUUCAAGCAAUUUUUGUGCCUCAGCUUCCCGAGUAGCUGGGAUUACAGGUGCCCGCCACCAUGCCCAGCUAAUUUUUGUAUUUUUAGUAGAGACAUAGAGUUUCACCAGAUUGGCCAGGCUGGUCUCGAACUCCUGUCUCACGUGUCUGUGUGAAGAGACCACCAAACAUGCUUUGUGUGAGCAACAUGGCUGUUUAUUUCACCUGGGUGCAGGCGGGCUGAGUCCAAAAAAGGAGUCAGCAAAGGGUGGUGUGAUUAUCACUGGUUCUUAUAGGUUUGGGGAUAGGCGGUGGAGUUAAGAGCAGUGUUUUGGGGGCAGGAGGUGGAUCUCAUAAAGUACAUUGUCAAGGGUGAGGAGAAUUACAAAGAAACUUCUUAAGGGUGGGGGAGAUGAUAAAGAACCUUCUUAAGAGUGGGGCAGAUUACAAAGUACAUUGAUCAGUUAGGGUGGGGCAGAAACAAAUGACAAUGGUGGAAUGUCUUCAGUUAAGGCUGUUUUCACUUCUGUGGAUCUUCAGUUGCUUCAGGCCAUCUGGAUGUAUACGUGCAGGUCACUGGGAUAUGAUGGCUUAGCUUGGACUCAGAGGCCUGACAUUCCUGUCUUCUUAUGUUAAUAAGAAAAAUAAAACAAAAUAGUGGUAAAGUGUUGGGGUGGCGAAAAUUUGUGGGGGUGAUAUGGAGAGAUAAUGGGCGAUGUUUCUCAGGGCUGCUUCGAGCGGGAUUAGGGGCGGCCUGGGAACCUACAGUGGGAGAGAUUCAACUGAAGAAAGAUUUUGGGGUAAGGGCUGAUACUGUGGGGUUGUUAGAAGGAGCAUUUGUCAUAUAGAAUUAUUGGUGAUGGCCUGAAUACGGUUUUGUAUGAAUUGAGAAACUAAACAGAAGACACACAGUCCGAAUAAGAGAAGGAGAAAAACAGGUAUUAAAGGACUAAGAAUUGGGAGGACCCAGGACAUCCAAUUAAGAGAGUGCCCAAGGGGGUUCAGCAUAAUUAUUUGCUUGGUUGGCAAGUUUUUGGACUCUAUCCUUGAGUUUUUUUAUGUUGUCAUAUACCAGGCCAGAUUGAUUUAGGUAAAAACAACACUCUUCAUUUAAAAAUAUACAGAGUCGUCCUUUUUCAGCAAUGAGUAAAUUGAGGCCUUGGCGAUUUUGGAGGAAAGAGAAUUGCAAAGCCAGCAAUUGUUUCUUUUUUUAUUUAUUUAUUUACUUAUUUUUUAAAAUUAUACUUUAAGUUAUAGGGUACAUGUACACAAUGUGCAGGUUUGUUACAUAUGUAUACAUGUGCCAUGUUGGUGUACUGCACCCAUUAACUCGUCAUUUACAUUAGGUGUAUCUCCUACUGCUAUCCCUUCCCCCUCCCCCACCACACAAGAGGCCCCAGUGUGUGAUGUUCCCCUUCCUGUGUCCAAGUGUUCUCAUUGUUCAAUUCGCAUCUGUGAGUGAGAACAUGCGGUGUUUGGUUUUUUGUCCUUGUGAUAGUUUGCUGAGAGUGAUCGUUUCCAGCUUCAUCCAUGUCUCUACAAAGGACAUGAACUCAUCCUUUUUUAUGGCUGCAUAGUACUCCAUGGUGUAUCUGUGCCACAUUUUCUUAAUCCAGUCUAUCAUUGAUGGACAUUUGUGUUGGUUCCAAGUCUUCACUAUCGUGAAUAUUGCCGCGAUAAACAUAUGUGUGCAUGUGUCUUUAUAGCAGCAUGAUUUAUAAUCCUUUGGGUAUGUAUCCAGUAAUGGGAUGGCUGGGUCAAAUGGUAUUUCUAGUUCUAGAUCCCUGAGGAAUCGCCACACUGUCUUCCACAAUGGUUGAACCAGUUUACAGUCCUACCAACAGUGUAAAAGUGUUCCUAUUUCUCCACAUCCUCUCCAGCACCUGUUGUUUCCUGACUUUUUAAUGAUCGCCAUUCUAACUGGUGUGAGAUGAUAUCUCAUUGCGGUUUUGAUUUGCAUUUCUCUGAUGGCCAGUGAUGAUGAGCAUUUUUUCAUGUGUCUGUUGGCUGCAUAAAUGUCUUCUUUUGAGAAGUGUCUGUUCAUAUGCUUUGCCCACUUUUUGAUGGGGUUUGUUUUUUUUUCUUGUAAAUUUGUUGGUGUUCUUUGUAGAUUCUGGAUAUUAGCCUUUUGUCAGAUAAGUAGAUGGCAAAAAUUUUCUCCCAUUCUCUAGGUUGCCUGUUCACACUGAUCCUAGUUUCUUUUGCUGUGCAGAAGCUCUUUAGUUUAAUUAGAUCCCAUUUGUCAGUUUUGGCUUCUGUUGCCAUUGCUUUUGGUGUUUUAGACAUGAAGUCCUUGCCCAUCCCUAUGUCCUGAAUGGUAUUGCCUAGGUUUUCUUCUAGGGUUUUUAUGGCUUUAGGUCUAACAUUUAAGUCUUUAAUCCAUCUUGAAUUAAUUUUUGUAUAAGGUGUAAGGAAGGGAUCCAGUUUCAGCUUUCUACAUAGGGCUAGCCAGUUUUCCCAGCACUAUUUAUUAAGUAGGGAAUCCUUUCUGCAUUUCUUGUUUUUGUCAGGUUUGUCAAAGAUCAGAUGGUUGUAGAUGUGUGGUAUUAUUUCUGAGGGCUCUGUUCUGUUCCAUUGGUCUAUAUGUCUGUUUCGGUAGCAGUACCAGGCUGUUUUGGUUACUGUAGCCUUGUAGUAUAGUUUGAAGUCAGGUAGCAUGAUGCCUCCAGCUUUGUUCAUUGGGCUUAGGAUUGUCUUGGCAAUGUGGGCUCUUUUUUGGUUCCAUAUGAACAUUAAAGUAGUCUUUUGCAACUCUCAUCAGCCCAGUUUAAUAUUACCUAUUUAUUAUAAUGUAAUGCUGCUCGGACAACUGAGAAAAUACUGUUGCUUUACCCCCUCCAGCUCUGUAGCAGCCACGCAGAAAUCAUAGAACUGUAAACAUAUGCUAAUUACACAACCUAUGUAGGCAAUCAAUAUUAAGAAAAAUUUUUACUGCUCGGUAUUUCUGUGGUUGAAAAUGUAGAGUCUAAUUUUGAUCCGCAGUAACAUCUAGGUUAAUGUUGAUUCAGAAGGAAAACGUUUGUUGUUGCCAUGAGAAGAGGCAUUGAAAUGCUGAAUCACCACCACAAAUGUUACCACUAUUAAUAUAAGGAGAUACAUAGGAAGAUGGAAUUAGACCAUCUCGGACCACCAGGUUUACAAUUCCACCUGCAGAUACAUGCAAGAAGUAUUGUCACAAUACUUAUGUCACGUUAUUCCGUUGAGGUCAUCACCAACUAAGCUUAUAAUUAAUGUGUGGUCAAUUUGGUCAAUGUCACCAGCGUAGCAUACUAACAAAAACAAGGGUUGCAAAGUCAAAUGCCUAUAAGGCAGAACGUAAGACGGUAGGAAGCAAAGUCUAUAGGGAGCUAUAUAAUAGAGGCUGCAGAUUCAUGGCAGAUUCUAAAGCACAGCAGUCCCCAACAUUUUUGGCACCAGGGACCGGCUUUGUGGAAGACAAUUUUUCCACAGGCGGCAAGGGAUGGGGCGCAGGAUGGUAAUGGUCUUGGGAUGAAACUGUUCCACCACAAAUCAUCAGGAAUUAGAUUCUCAUAAGGAAUAUGCAACCUGGAUCCCUCGUGUGUGCAAUUCACAACAGGGUUCAUGCUCCUGUAAGAAUCUAAUGAUGCUGCUGAUCUGACAGGAGGCAGAGCUCAGGCAGCAAUGCAAGCAAUGGGGAGCAGCCAGAAAUACAGACGAAGCUUCAAUUGUUACCCACCAUUCACCUCCUGCUCUGUGGCCCAGUUCCUAACAGGCCACAGACCAGUACAUGUCCAUGGCCCAGGGGUCAGGGACCCUGCUGUGGCACAUUGCUUAAUAGAGGACUGUAGCAGCCAUGUGCCCUGACCUUUCCUUUUUUUUUUUUUUUUUUUUUUUUUGAGAUGCCAGAAACCCAGAAUUUUUUUUUUUUUUUUUUUUUUUAAGACAAGGUCUGGCUCUGUUGCCCAGGUUGGAGUGUAGGAGGGCGAUCUCAGCUCACUGUAACAUCAACCUCCCAGGCUCAAGCAAUCCUCUCACUUCAGCCUCCCACGUUGCUGGGAUUACAGGCACACUCCACUACACCCAGCUAAUUUUUUUGUAUUAUUUGUAGACAUGGGGUUUCGCCAUGUUGCCCAGGCUAGUCUGGAAUUCCUGAGGUCAAGCUGUCUGCCCAUCUCAGCCUCCCAAAGUGCUGGGAUUGCAGGAGUGCACCACCACACCUGGCCUGAAACCCAGAUUUUAUUUAUUUAUUUAUUCAUUUUUUGAGAUGGAGUCUUGCUCUAUUGCCUAAGCUUGAGUGCAGUGGCGCGAUCUUGGCUCACUGCAACCUCCACCUCCCUGGUUCAAGCGAUUCUCCUGCCUCAGCCUCCCAAAGUGCUGGGAUUACAGGCAUGCAACACCACACCCAGCCUGAAACCCAGAUUUUUAAUAUGAAAUCAAAGUCUUCAGACCUUGUAGGUGUCAUAAAAAGCACGCUGAGGACCACUAGUUUGCAACUGCCAAUCUAAAAUAUCAUAGACAUUAUAUCACUUUAACCACGAAAAAAAAAGUAUGUGAGGCAGAAAAUGGAAGCAACCAUGCCUAAUUUAUUGUUGAAUACUUUUUCCGUAUACCAAGAGCUUCCUUUGCACUAGCAUCUGAAACUAUAUCCAGAAUGACACUGGUUUUCAUAAAAGUGUUGAUCCUCACACCUCUUUAUAGUCUUGCACCUAGCCCAGUGGAGUGAAACACUUUAAAUAGCACUUGUUCCUUGAGUAUAUAUGGAAAAAAGUGAAGUAUUGAUAAGUGCUCAGCUAAUAUGAGCAGCAUCUCAGGAGUCUCCAAUUCUUGAAUUACCAGGGAGUAUUUUUACCAUUUUCCCCCAGUGAAAGGCCUAUUUUGAGAGACUUAUCCUCCAAAAUGAAUGUAUUAAGUCAUGUUCCUUUUUUUUUUUUUUUUUUGAGACAGGGCCUUGCUCUGUUGCCCAGGCUGGAGUGCAGUAGCAUGAUAGUUACAGGAAAGGGGUCCCAAUCUAGACCCCAAGAGAGGGUUCUUGGAUCUUGUGCAAGAAAGAAUUCAGGGUGAUGCCACAGUGUGAAGUGAAAGCAAGUUUAUUAAGAAAGUAAAGGAGGAGGGGCACCGUGGCUCACUCCUGUAAUCGCAGCACUUUGGGAGGCCGAGACAGGUGGAUCACGAGGUCAGGAGAUCAAGACCAUCCUGGUUAACACGGUGAAACCUCAUCUCUACUAAAAAUACAAAAAAAUUAGCCAAGUGUGGUGGCCGGUGCCUGUAGUCCCACCUACUCUGGAGGCUGAGGCAGGAGAAUGGGAUGAACCCGGGAGGCGAAGCUUGCAGUAAGCCGAGAUCGCGCCACUGCACUCCAGCCUGGGUGACAGAGGGAGACUCCAUCUCAAAAAAAAAGAGAGAAAGUAAAGGAAUAAAAGAAUGGCUACCCCAUAGACGGAGCAGCCGUGAGGGCUGCUGGUUGCCCAUUUUUAUGGUUAUUUCUUGAUGAUAUGCUAAACAAGGAGUGGAUUUUUCAUGCCUCCUCUUUUUAGACCAUAUAGGGUAACUUCUUGAUGUUGCCGUGGCAUUUGUAAACUGUCAUGGUGCUGGUAGGAGUGUAGCAGGGAGGAUGAUGGGAGGUCAGUCUUGUCUCUAUUUUGGUUUUGGUGGGUUUUGGCCAGCUCCUUCACUGCAACCUGUUUUAUCAGCAAGGUCUUUAUGACUGGUAUUUUGUGCUGACCUUCUAUGUCAUCCUGUGACUUAGAAUGCCUUAACCAUCAGGGAAUGCAGCCCAGUAGUUUCAGCCUCAUUUUUCCUGGCUCCUAUUUAAGAUGGAGUUGCUCUGGUUCACACACCUCUGACAUGAUCAUUGCCCACUGCGGCUUCCACCUCCCGGGUUCAAGAGAUCCUCCUGCCUCACCCUCCCAAGGUGCUGGGACUACAGGUGUGUGCCACCACGCUCAGCUAAUUUUUGUAUUUUUUGUAGAGAUGGUGUUUUUCCAUGUUGCCCAGGCUGGUCUCAAACUCCUGGGCUCAAGCAAUCCUUCUGUCUCAGCCUCCCAAAGUACUGGGAUUACAGGCAUGUCCCACCAUGCCCAGACUAAUAUUUACUUUUAAUCAGACUAAGAUAGGGUUACUACUUGAGUUGCUAUGGCUCCAGCUGAAAGAAAGCCCGUGCAGUCAUAUCACGCGUAAACAUUUGCUUUAUGCUAAAAAUAUGGUGGACCUGGCAUUACAGCUAUUACAAAUCUCCUAAGAUGUCUCGGGUAGUGUAUUAGUUACUUUUCAUACUGCUAUGAAGAAAUACUGGAAACUGGGUAAUUUAUAAAGAAAAAGAGGUUUAAUGUACUCACAGUUCCACAAGGCUGGAGAGGCCUCAGAAUCAUGGUGGAAGGCAAGGAGCAAAAAGGUAUGUCUUCCAUGGCAGCAGGCAAGAGAGCACGUGCAGGGAAACUGCCCUUUAUAAAACCAUCAGAUUUAGUGAGAUGUAUUCACUAUCACGAGAACAGUAUGGGAAAAACCUGCCCCCAUGAUUCGAUUACCUCCUACCGGGUCCCUCCCACGACACAUGGGGAUUAUGGGAACUACAAUUCAAGAUGAAAUUUGGGUGGGGACGCAGCCAAACCAUAUCGGGUAGCAACAACCUAGGGUCAGUUUUGCAGGUGGUAAAGCCAUUUACCAAGAUAGUUGUAGGUAAAGAAGGGCAGAUUUAUUAGAGAAAUUGUGAAAAUAUGUUGCAGUGGGCAGCUCAGCAGAGAAGGGGCUACCUGCAAAGAGGCAAGGGCUGGAGGAAAGUUUUAUAGGGUCCUGCUGAAGGGUGCUACGUGUGGAAUGAGGUCAUUGUGCCCGCAGGUUGUUUGUGAUUAGCUGUUUCUAACAAUUGUUCAUACAAUCAUUGUUCAUUAUUGUUCUCAACUUGGGGCUCUCCCCAACCUGGGGACCCUUCCUUAUUGUUGCUUACUUAUCAGGUCUCCACAUAAAGGUGUGGAAACUUCAUUCAUUCAUAUCUUCAACACAAAUUGUAGGUAGCCUGUUUUUUAAAACAUUUAUUCAACAAAUAUUUAGUCCAAGCCACUAUUACUUAUUACCUUCUCUACUAUUGUAUGGACUUUUAACUAUCUCUGACACUAUUCACUAUUCUUCCACAUUCUCUAUUAUUUAUACCUAUGGUAAAAUUUGCCAGUUUGACCAUACAACUAAUACUCACAGGGAAUAUAUAGAGUCUAGAAGAAAAUAUACAGGUCCUUAAAGGCUGCCCUGCCAACAAAACCAUAACGCAGGAACAAACAUCACAACUAUGCCAAAUAAUCAAUCCUACAAUGUCCAAAAUUUUACUUUAAAACUGGAAUUUCCAGACUUCCUUUCUGCAUUAACCAGUUUAACUAGACAGUAACGAAAUAUUCCUACUUUAUGCUGUGAUAGUUUGUUUAUUUAUUUAUUUAUUUAUUUAUUUGAGACAGAGUUUCGCUCUUGUUGCCCAGGCUGGAGUGCAGUGGCACGAUCUCAGCUCACCACAACCUCCGCCUCCCAGGUUCAAGCGAUUCUCCUGCCUCAGCCUCCCGAGUAGCUGGGAUUACAGGCAUGUACCACCACGCCCGGGUAAUUUUGUAUUUUUAGUAGAGACGGGGGGUUUCUCCAUGUUGGUCAGGCUGGUCUAGAACUCCAGACCUCAGGUGAUACCCCUGCCUCAGCCUCCCAAUGUGCUGGGAUUACAGCUGUGAAGCCACCGCGCCCGGCUGCUGUGAUAGUUGAGAUGUAAACCAAAAAUAAAAUUCUAAGCCACCCAAUCCGACUGAAUGGACCCUUCCUGUUGAGCAAGGACAUUCCAAAGUAAACUGAAAAGACCAGCUUAGGCCAUGAUGGGAAGGGGAGGUGUCAACAUGCCUCAUUCUACCUUCCUCCCUCUGGAAUCCAGACACAACUGACCAGCAUUAACAUUAAAACAGAGAUCUUAAGCUGGGCACAGUGGCUCAUGCCUGUAAUCCCAGCACUUUGGGAGGCCAAGGUGGGAUCACCUGAGGUCAGAAGUUCAAGACCAGCCUGGCCAGUAUGGUGAAGCCAUGUCUCUACUAAAAAUACAAAAUUAGCCGGACAUUGUGGUGCACGUCUGUCAUCCCAGCAAGGCAGGCGAAUCACUUGAACCCAGGAAGCAGAGGUUGCAGUGAGCCAGGAUCAUGCCAUUGCACUCCAGCCUGGUCAACGGAGCGAGACUCCGCCUCAUUAAAAAAAAAAAAAAAAAAAAUUAGCCGGGCGUGGUGGCGGGCACAUGUAGUCCCAGCUACUAGGGAGGCUGAGGCAGGAGAAUGGUGUGAACCAGGGAGGCGGAGCUUGCAGUGAGCCGAGAUUGUGCCACUGCACUCCAGCCUGGACAGAAAUGCAUUUCAUAAUGCAUUUUAAUUGCAUUAGCAGUGAUUUAAUUUUUUUAGAUGUUAAAACUUAUGGGUGAAAGUGGAUUAAAUGUAGCCAAAUGCAACAUCAAAAUCUUCAGGCACAAAAACCCAUUAACUUUUUCAUACUCUCAGAAGGUGAACCUAAUUUCAAAUGAAAGCUGCCUCCAGAAUAUAUUGUUAAGCGUAUUCUAGAUAUAAUUCAUUUUGGCAAACAUACUGUAGAAAUUCACAUAACAUUUUACUGUACUAAAAGUAAAUUGCCCAUGUAACAAAAAAUAUCUUUUCAGAGCUUGAAAUGAAUUUUAAAGGAUGACUGAUGGUCCUUGGAAGAGAAAUAGUAAACAAAUAAGGUUUGUAGCAAUGAUGUAUGAGUUAGAAAUUGCAGUUCCAGAUGAUCUCUUUAUUAAAGAGACGAUCUACACUUAAUUUGGUCAAGUGUUAUGAACAUAGUUCAUGUUAAGUCUCCAUUUAAAUACAACCUGAAAUACCAAAGUUAAUUUUCUUUUCUUUCUUUCUUUUUUUUUUUUUUUUUUUAGAAGGAGUCUUGCUCUGUUGCCCUUCCUGGAGUGCAGUGACGUGAUCUUGGCUCACUGCAACCUCCACCUCCUGGGCUUGAGCGAUCCUACUGCCUCAGCCCCCCAAGUAGCUGGGAGGACAGGCGCAAGCCACGGCACUCAGCUAAUUUUUGUAUUUUUCGUAGAGAUAGGGUUUCACCAUGUUGCCCAAUUUGGUCUCGAACUCCUGAGCUCAAGUGAUCCGCCCGCCUUGGCCUCCCAAAGUGCUGGGAUUACAGGCAUGAGCCACCGUGCCUGGCCAGAAAAUUGUAAACACACACAAACUCUCAAGUGGCCUAAUUCCCUCUCACCAAACCAAUCACAAUACAGAUAAAAGAGAAUAACUUGUGUUCAUUUUUGUACAAACAAAAAAGAUAUAAAUUGUGAAUGAUGCAUGAUUUUUAAUUACAAGUAAACUGGGCAAAUGCUUCUGCAUUAUUUAAAGCUAAAAGGUGAUCAGUGGAAACUUUCCUCUGUUAGUACUCUAAUACUUUUUAUAUUUAUCGGCUCACUACAACCUGUGCCUACCAGGUUCAAGCGAUUCUCCUGUCUCAGCCACCUGAGUAGCCGAGACCACAGGCACGCACUACCAUGUCCGGCUAAUUUUGUAUUUUUAAUAGAGACAGGGUUUCACCGUGUUGGCCAUGCUGGUCUUGAACUCCUGACCUCAACCGAUCCGCCUGCCUUGGCCUCCCAAAGUUCUGGGAUUACAAGCGUGAGCCACCGCGCCCAGCCUUAUUAUAAUUGUUACUAUUUAAAUCUCUUUUGCUCUCUCCUUCAAGAGAGACCUCAUCCCAUUCAGUUGCUUCCAUUUAUUUAUUCAUCUUCUGCCUCCUGGGCUCGAGAGAUCCUCCAGCGUGAGUCUCCCAAGUAGCUGGGACUACAGGCUCACACCACCAAGCUUGGCUAAAUUUUGUAGGUUUUGGAGAGACAGGCUCUUGCCACGUUGCCUAGGCUGGUCUCAAACUCCUGGGCUCAGAUGAUCCACCUGCCUUCGCCUCCCAAAGCACUGGGACAUGAGCCACCACGCCCAGCCGCAAGUACUUUUACACAAAAUGCAAACACCAUUCUUCCAUCAUAAAAGUGAUACCACAGCUUCCGUGAAGUUUUGCCAGGUAGUACUCAUAAUUACCUUGGGUAAACUUUUUGAUGUUAAACUGUAUCUUCUUAUUACGAGUUUUUCCAUUGUAUUAACUGCUUUUACAACAACACAAAUAACAAGUUAUUUUACAAACCAUUUAGAAAUUUCUGUACUAUGGUCCCAGUAAUGUAAAAUAUAUUAAUGCCUAUUACAUUCAGAUAAAUUAUACACUUGGAAACCACAUACUUAUGACUUACAGAAAUUUACAUAAACAAAUUAUAGAAAUUAUAUGCUCAAUUUUUAGGUAUAUAGUCUUAAAUUAAGCUUAAAUAUACAUUCUCAAGAUAAAUUAACAGUUCAGGGCUUCACAACUUGAAAUCUGUGGAAGAUGACAUUGGAGACAACAGAACUCUGGUGGAAUUCUUAGAUGGAAUUUGCCGAAACUUUUUUUUUUUUUU
rnacentral:lncRNA from 1 species